UACAGAGGGUGCGAGCGUUGUUCGGAAUUAUUGGGCGUAAAGCGCGAGUAGGCGGCUUGUUAAGUCGCGUGUGAAAGCUCCGGGCUCAACCCGGAAAGUGCGCGCGAAACUGGCGAGCUUGAGUGCUGGAGAGGGUGGCGGAAUUCCCGGUGUAGAGGUGAAAUUCGUAGAUAUCGGGAGGAACACCAGAGGCGAAGGCGGCCACCUGGACAGACACUGACGCUGAGAAGCGAAAGCGUGGGGAGCAAACAGGAUUAGAAACCCCCGUAGUCC
rnacentral:rRNA from 1 species